rnacentral:rRNA from 1 species
AGAGUUUGAUCCUGGCUCAGGAUGAACGCUAGCGACAGGCUUAACACAUGCAAGUCGAGGGGCAGCAAUUUGUAGCAAUACAAAGUUGGCGACCGGCGCACGGGUGAGUAACGCGUAUGCAACCUACCCACAACAGAAGAAUAAUCCGGCGAAAGUCGGUCUAAUACUUCAUAAAACAGGGACACCGCAUGGUGUUAUUUGUUAAAGAUUUAUCGGUUGUGGAUGGGCAUGCGUACCAUUAGGUAGUUGGUGAGGUAACGGCCCACCAAGCCUACGAUGGUUAGGGGUUCUGAGAGGAAAGUCCCCCACACUGGUACUGAGACACGGACCAGACUCCUACGGGAGGCAGCAGUGAGGAAUAUUGGUCAAUGGGCGAGAGCCUGAACCAGCCAAGUCGCGUGAAGGAUGACGGCCCUAUGGGUUGUAAACUUCUUUUGCAGGGGAAUAAAGAUAUUCACGUGUGGGUAGUUGUAUGUACCCUGCGAAUAAGCAUCGGCUAACUCCGUGCCAGCAGCCGCGGUAAUACGGAGGAUGCGAGCGUUAUCCGGAUUUAUUGGGUUUAAAGGGUGCGUAGGUGGGCUAUUAAGUCAGUGGUGAAAGUUUGUCGCUCAACGAUAAAAUUGCCGUUGAAACUGGUGGUCUUGAGUAUGGAUGAAGUAGGCGGAAUGCGUGGUGUAGCGGUGAAAUGCAUAGAGAUCACGCAGAACUCCGAUUGCGAAGGCAGCUUACUAAGGCAUAACUGACACUGAAGCACGAAAGCGUGGGUAUCAAACAGGAUUAGAUACCCUGGUAGUCCACGCAGUAAACGAUGAUUACUAGGAGUUUGCGAUAUAGUGUAAGCUCUACAGCGAAAGCGUUAAGUAAUCCACCUGGGGAGUACGCCGGCAACGGUGAAACUCAAAGGAAUUGACGGGGGCCCG